AUUUUCCUGCCAUGUGAAAAUGCCAGCGUCUCAUUUGGGAGAUCUCAUGGAGAGCGAGAGAAUGGUGGACACAGCUCAUCUGCUCCAACACCACCCUGAGGACUGAUUUCACUACAGGCCCCUUUAUCCCGCGGAACGUGGAUGUUAAUCAUGACCACUCCGGCUCAUCCUGUUGUUUCAAAGGUAAAUGUUUGCCUUUGGUGACUAGAGCACUUUGGCCAGACUCUUACAGCACUCAGUACUUCUUUAUUAGUUUAGAAUACAUCAAACA
rnacentral:lncRNA from 1 species